rnacentral:rRNA from 1 species
UACGAAGGGGGCUAGCGUUGCUCGGAAUCACUGGGCGUAAAGCGCACGUAGGCGGAUUGCUAAGUCAGGGGUGAAAUCCUGGAGCUCAACUCCAGAACUGCCCUUGAUACUGAGGAUCUUGAGUUCGGGAGAGGUGAGUGGAACUGCGAGUGUAGAGGUGAAAUUCGUAGAUAUUCGCAAGAACACCAGUGGCGAAGGCGGCUCACUGGCCCGAUACUGACGCUGAGGCACGAAAGCGUGGGGAGCAAACAGG